rnacentral:lncRNA from 1 species
AUGAAUUCUGCUGUGAAAAGUUCGUCUAUUUUAGUAUCACUCGUUUUCGUUUUUCCGUCCCAAACUGUGGCGUCUUGGGGAGAGGAGCUACGAGGGCCAAAGGGGAGCGGCCGGCUCUUCCGAAGACGGAGACUGCGGCCCGUUAAUGCUGAACUGCUUUCCCCUCCUCCCCAAACCCGCCGUCCUCCGUCCCGAGCAACGUCCUUUCCGGACCGAAGGAGAGGAGGAGACCCUCGGGUGGGCGCGGCGACCUCCCCUUCGACGGGCCGAGCACGGACGGCUUGUGACCACGGAGGGCUCAAAACUUGUCUUUCGGUCUCAGCCCGAAACGCGAACCUCGGACUGCGGUAAACAUCGCUCCGGAGGGCUCUUGAGACCGCGAGAGCGCAGCCGCGGACCCCUCGCAUCCGAGUAAGCCGGGCUUCGGGGCAAUGAACGCCGAGGAAAAUCCGACGGCCGGAGGAGCACACACGGGUGCCCAGAGCCGGGCCGCCUGGCCUCUGUGCCCAGAUACUACGCCGAGAAGCUAAUCAAAGUGGUCUGGGUAAGCGUCUGGGAGUAAUUAACCCCUCUGUUAUCCAGCAGAAGAUUUAAAAAGUAAAAGGGCAGUACAGUAGGCCACGGGACCUUGACCCUCGGGUCCGCCGGGAGAGGCCCUUCCUGCCCGGG